AUACGGAGGGUGCGAGCGUUAAUCGGAAUUACUGGGCGUAAAGCGUACGUAGGCGGUUUGCUAAGUCAGAUGUGAAAGCCCCGGGCUUAACCUGGGAACUGCAUUUGAUAUUGGCAGACUAGAGUAUGAUAGAGGGGGGUAGAAUUCCUGGUGUAGCGGUGAAAUGCGUAGAUAUCAGGAGGAAUACCAGUGGCGAAGGCGGCCCCCUGGAUCAAUACUGACGCUGAGGUACGAAAGCGUGGGGAGCGAACAGGAUUAGAAACCCCAGUAGUCC
rnacentral:rRNA from 1 species